rnacentral:rRNA from 1 species
CCCCUUAGAGUUUGAUCCUGGCUCAAGAUGAACGCUGGCGGCGUGCCUAACACAUGCAAGUCGAACGUUAGCUCAUAGCAAUAUGGGUGAAAGUGGCGAACGGGUGGGUAACACGUAGGUAACCUGCCGCGCAGAGGGGGAUAACGACUGGAAACGGUCGCUAACACCGCAUGGUACUACUUUGACGGGAGUCUGAGUGGUUAAAACCUUGGUGCUGCGCGAGGGGCCUGCGUCCGAUUAGUUAGUUGGUGAGGUAAUGGCUCACCAAGACGAUGAUCGGUAGCUGGUCUGAGAGGAUGAUCAGUCACACGGGAACUGAGACACGGUCCCGACUCCUACGGGGGGCAGCAGUGAGGAAUAUUGCACAAUGGACGCAAGUCUGAUGCAGCAACGCCGCGUGGAGGAUGAAGGCCCUUGGGUUGUAAACUCCUUUUUUCAGGGAAGAGAAUGGACGGUACCUGAAGAAUAAGUCACGGCUAACUACGUGCCAGCAGCCGCGGCAAUACGCAGGUGGCAAGCGUUAUCCGGAAUUACUGGGCGUAAAGCGCACGCAGGCGGUCUUGUAAGUUUGACGUGAAAGCUCCCGGCUUAACUGGGAGAGGUCGUUGAAUACUGCAAGACUUGAGUUUAGGAGAGGGGUGUAGAAUUCCCGGUGUAGUGGUGGAAUGCGUAGAUAUCGGGGGGGAAUACCAGUGGCGAAAGCGGCACCCUAUCCUUUUGACUGACGCUCAUGUGCGAAGCGUGGGGAGCGAACGGUAUUAGAUACCCCGGUAGUCCACGCCGUAAACGAUGAUCACUAGGUGUAGUGAUGUGAAAGUUAUCUGUGCCAAGCUAACGCGUUAGUUGUUCCGCCUGAGAGUACCGCAGCUAGGCUAAACUCGAAUGAAGUGACGGCGUCCGACCAAGCAGCGCAUGAUGUAUACUCAUUCGAAUGCGAACGGAGCUACUUUACUUAUGUUUUAUGAC